UGAGAUGGAUUCCGGGUGUGAGAGCAUGGCCCGGCUCACUGGGACUGAGACACUGCCCAGACACCUACGGGUGGCUGCAGUCGAGAAUCUUCGGCAAUGGACGAAAGUCUGACCGAGCGACGCCGCGUGCGGGAUGAAGGCCUUCGGGUUGUAAACCGCUGUCAGUUGGGAGGAAAUGUAGAGGGGUUAUCCCCUUUAUUUGACCGAUCUUCAGAGGAAGGACGGGCUAAGUUCGUGCCAGCAGCCGCGGUAAGACGAACCGUCCGAACGUUAUUCGGUAUCACUGGGCUUAAAGCGUUCGUAGGCGGCCUAGUAGGUGAGGUGUGAAAGCCCUCGGCUCAACCGAGGAACAGCGCUUCAAACCACUAGGCUUGAGGAUGGCAGGGGUAAUGGGAACUGAUGGUGGAGCGGUGAAAUGCUUUGAUAUCAUCAGGAACACCGGUGGCGAAAGCGCAUUACUGGCCAUUUCUGACGCUGAGGAACGAAAGCUAGGGUAGCGAACGGGAUUAGAUACCCCGGUAGUCCUAGCCGUAAACGAUGAGCACUGGGUUGAGGGGACUUCCACAUCUUCUCGGCCGUAGCGAAAGCGUUAAGUGCUCCGCCUGGGGAGUAUGGCCGCAAGGCUGAAACUCAAAGGAAUUGACGGGGGCUCACACAAGCGGUGGAGGAUGUGGCUUAAUUCAAGGCUACGCGAAGAACCUUAUCCUAGACUUGACAUGCUUAGGAAUCCCCUGGAAACAGGGGAGUGCCCGCAAGGGAGCCUUUGCACAGGUGCUGCAUGGCUGUCGUCAGCUCGUGUCGUGAGAUGUCGGGUUAAGUCCCUUAACGAGCGAAACCCUUAUCUCUAGUUGCCAGCGGGUAAUGCCGGGGACUCUAGAGAGACUGCCGGUGUCAAACCGGAGGAAGGUGGGGAUGACGUCAAGUCCUCAUGGCCUUUAUGUUUAGGGCUGCGCACGUCCUACAAUGGCACGUACAAAGGGAAGCAAUACCGCGAGGUGGAGCUAAUCCCACAAAGCGUGCCUCAGUUCGGAUUGCAGGCUGCAACUCGCCUGCAUGAAGCUGGAAUCGCUAGUAAUCGUAGGUCAGCAUACUACGGUGUAUGUGUUCCUGAGCCUUGUACACACCGCCCGUCAAGCCACGAAAGUUGGGAGGGCCCGUAGUCACUGAGCUAACCCGCAAGGGAGGCAGGUGCCGAAGGUCAGCUCGACAAUUGGGACUAAGUCGUAACAAGGUA
rnacentral:rRNA from 1 species